rnacentral:rRNA from 1 species
GACGAACGCUGGCGGCGUGCUUAACACAUGCAAGUCGAACGAUGAAGCCGGAGCUUGCUCUGGUGAAUUAGUGGCGAACGGGUGAGUAACACGUGAGUAACCUGCCCUUGACUUUGGGAUAACUGCGGGAAACUGUAGCUAAUACCGGAUACGACCCUCGGAGGCAUCUCCUGGGGGUGGAAAGAAUUUCGGUCAAGGAUGGACUCGCGGCCUAUCAGCUAGUUGGUGAGGUAAAGGCUCACCAAGGCGACGACGGGUAGCCGGCCUGAGAGGGUGACCGGGCACACUGGGACUGAGACACGGCCCAGACUCCUACGGGAGGCAGCAGUGGGGAAUAUUGCACAAUGGGCGCAAGCCUGAUGCAGCAACGCCGCGUGAGGGAUGACGGCCUUCGGGUUGUAAACCUCUUUUAGCAGGGAAGAAGCGAAAGUGACGGUACCUGCAGAAAAAGCACCGGCUAACUACGUGCCAGCAGCCGCAGUAA